rnacentral:rRNA from 1 species
CAGUUCGGAUUGUAGUCUGCAACUCGACUACAUGAAGCUGGAAUCGCUAGUAAUCGCGGAUCACGAAUGCCGCGGUGAAUACGUUCCCGGGUCUUGUACACACCGCCCGUCACACCAUGGGAGUCGGGAAUGCCCGAAGCCGGUGACCGAACCGCAAGGACGGAGCCGUCGAAGGCAGAUUCGAUAACUGGGGUGAAGUCGUAACAAGGUAAC